ACCAAUUAAUUCUCGUUCCCCCUUCCUCAGUACACUAUUGGUGUUUUUAUAUACAAUGAAGAAGUAAGUUGUUACAAUUCAGUUACAGCAACAACUCCAACAGCUCCAACGGGUUUUGGCCCCCUUUCAUCUGCUUGAAUCUCCAGCUAACAAAUCUCCCACUAAGCUCAUGUAAAACAGUAUCGUAUCAAUCAUUCAAUAAUCAUACUUACAAAUCAGAUUAUAGACUGAACCUUAUAAAAUCCAUCACCUGUAAUCGCAUAUAUCUUGUUACACAAACACAUGAAGCAAAACUAUUGCAAAUCCUCACUCAAUGGAACCCAUACCCGACCGAUAAAUAAUAGGCUAAACAUUGCAAAAUCCAUCACCUGUAUGUGCAAUCUUAACUAGCCAACUCCCCUGAUGUUAUGCUUUCGCUUGCUCUUUUUCUGAAUCAGCUCUAAUAGGGCUGCUGCCGCCUGGGAGAAUGUUCUCACCCAAAGAGUUGCUGGCAUUGUUCAUGACUUCAACAUUGUCUUCACCUUUCAAAUUGCCCAAACUGGGGGAAUUAAUACCAGAAGCACACCCUUCUGAAUGUUUUGGCUGAUUCAGGGCAUGACAGUGUGGGCAGUAGUAAGUAAUGUAUGGGAAAUCCUCCUUCCUGGCUAGUCCAUUGUGCAUGUGACAGUUCCCACAUAUCAGUGCAUAAGAUUGUGUAGGAUCCUCACCCACAAGUAAUGCUGCUAAUCGAGCAAUCCAUCCCCCAUCAUGCACAGCAGAACCGUGUGGACUGUGAUGCUCAACAACAAGCUGAUUUUGCUCAGAAGUUUGAAGACCUUCACUCUGUGCAGGGCAUAACAUUUCUUCAUCAUGAUGAAGCACUGGAGAACUCCCUGCAGUAAUGGAUCUAGUAUGUACUUGCUUUCUAUUUCUAAGGCUACCAGCUUGCACAAACUCAACAUCAUUGCUCAUCCCUGUUGAAUCAUUGAGCUUAGCUUCAUCUCCCA
rnacentral:misc_RNA from 1 species